rnacentral:SRP_RNA from 1 species
GCCAGGCGGAGUGGCGUGUGCCUGUAGUCCCAGCUACUCAGGAGGCUGAGGUGGGAGGAUCGCUUGAGCCCAGGAGUUCUGGGCUGUAAUACGCUAUGCCGAUCGGGUGUCUGCACUAAGUUCGGCAUCAAUAUGGUGACCUCCCAGAACGGGGGACCACCAGGUUGCCUCCUUAGGGUGAACCGGCCCAGGUCGGAAACGGAGCAGGUAAAAACUCCUGUGCUGAUCAGUAGUGGGAUCGCGCCUGUGAAUAGCCACUGCACUCCAGCCUGGGCAACAUAGUGAGACCCCGUCUCU